GAUGAACGCUGGCGGCGUGCCUAAUACAUGCAAGUCGAGCGAACGGACGAGAAGCUUGCUUCUCUGAUGUUAGCGGCGGACGGGUGAGUAACACGUGGAUAACCUACCUAUAAGACUGGGAUAACUUCGGGAAACCGGAGCUAAUACCGGAUAAUAUUUUGAACCGCAUGGUUUAAAAGUGAAAGACGGUCUUGCUGUCACUUAUAGAUGGAUCCGCGCUGCAUUAGCUAGUUGGUAAGGUAACGGCUUACCAAGGCAACGAUGCAUAGCCGACCUGAGAGGGUGAACGGCCACACUGGAACUGAGACACGGUCCCGACUCCUACGGGAGGCAGCAGUAGGGAAUCUUCCGCAAUGGGCGAAAGCCUGACGGAGCAACGCCGCGUGAGUGAUGAAGGUCUUCGGAUCGUAAAACUCUGUUAUUAGGGAAGAACAUAUGUGUAAGUAACUGUGCACAUCUUGACGGUACCUAAUCAGAAAGCCACGGCUAACUACGUG
rnacentral:rRNA from 1 species